AUUUAUAUAAUAUAACUAUUAUAUUUGACUUCCAAUCAGAAAAUCUAACAUUUUAGUAUAAAUA
rnacentral:tRNA from 1 species